rnacentral:misc_RNA from 1 species
AGCUCUCAAACACUAUCUUUUCUUAACUGAGAAGGUGGCCGUUUGGAUUUGGACUCUGCCGUGUAACAAACGGCUGGUCCGAAAGAUAUUAGCUGAUCCUAGCAAAGCUUGGUUCUACUCGGCGUGAUAAUUAUCUGACGUCGAGGACAUCGCAAGAUGGCCAAAAUUUGUUUUAUGGAUUGCUUCUAAUCGUCUUCAUCGACAACACAUCAUCA